GUAGGGAAUAUUGCGCAAUGGGGGAAACCCUGACGCAGCAACGCCGCGUGGAGGAUGACACUUUUCGGAGCGUAAACUCCUUUUAUCGGGAAAGAAUAAUGACGGUACCCGAUGAAUAAGCACCGGCUAACUCCGUGCCAGCAGCCGCGGUAAUACGGAGGGUGCAAGCGUUACUCGGAAUCACUGGGCGUAAAGGGUGCGUAGGUGGAUUAUCAAGUCUCUUGUGAAAUCUAAUAGCUUAACUAUUAAAUUGCUUGGGAAACUGAUAGUCUAGAGUAGGGGAGAGGCAGAUGGAACUCUUGGUGUAGGAGUAAAAUCCGUAGAUAUCAAGAAGAAUACCUAUUGCGAAAGCGAUCUGCUAGAACCUAACUGACACUGAUGCACGAAAGCGUGGGGAGCAAACAGGA
rnacentral:rRNA from 1 species